CCUACGGGAGGCAGCAGUGAGGAAUAUUGGUCAAUGGGCGUAAGCCUGAACCAGCCAAGUCGCGUGAGGGAUGAAGGUUCUAUGGAUCGUAAACCUCUUUUAUAAGGGAAUAAAGUGUGGGACGUGUCCUAUUUUGUAUGUACCUUAUGAAUAAGGAUCGGCUAACUCCGUGCCAGCAGCCGCGGUCAUACGGAGGAUCCGAUCGUUGUCCGGCUUUAUUGGGUUUAAAGGGUGCGUAGGCGGCCUUUUAAGUCAGCGGUGAAAGUCUGUGGCUCAACCAUAGAAUUGCCGUUGAAACUGGGGUGCGUGAGUAUGUUCGAGGCAGGCGGAAUGCGUGGUGUAGCGGUGAAAUGCUGAGAUAUCACGCAGAACCCCGAUUGAGAAGGCAGCCUGCCAAGCCAUGACUGACGCUGAUGCACGAAAGCGUGGGGAUCAAACAGGAUUAGAUACCCCAGUAGUC
rnacentral:rRNA from 1 species